rnacentral:tRNA from 1 species
GCCCUGAUGGUCUAGCGGUAUGAUUCUCCCUUAGGGUUGCCUAUAUAAUCUGUUUGGGAGAGGUCCCAGGUUCGAUCCCUGGUUAGGGCC